GGGAUCUCGCAAGAGGAAUUAGACCAGUAUGUAGUGUUUGCAAGUUUUAAUGUGUGUGGGUCCUUUCCUUUCUUCCUUCCUUUCAGGUUUAACUAGCUAAUACUGCUCCUGGUAUGUACCACACAGUAUUAUUGAAGGUUUUAGCAUCGCUGGAAAGGCUAGCAUUUGUUUCUCAUCACUAACUACCCUUGAAGUUUCUGGUGAAUCAUUCUCUCACUCAACAUGAAUUUCAGUAUUGAAGUUCACCACAGUGCUGUCAGAGGAGGAUUUUGAUCCAGCAAGUAUGAAGAAAUAGUACAAGUCAAGAUAGUAUGCGGCUUGAGGAUAAACUUCAAGACAAGUGAUAUUCCAAUUACUCCAGCAGCUCUUGCCCUUCUAGGUGAAUAAGGACUUGGAUUUGAAAGUUGCUCUUGAAUCAGCCAGGGAAGGAUGGGACCAAUCGGGGAUGAAAAAGAAAAUCUAUACAUGGAAGAAAGAAUAUGAUUGAGGUACUACAUGAGUGCUUUGAACCUGUCUUUACCAAGUAAGACGUUGCUGAAGUUAUCAUAGCGGAAGAGGUGAGAGCUGAAACUCUGGAUGGGCUAAAGAUUGAGAAGGAAGAGGAUUUGAAAGGUUGGCUGUACUUUUAGUUUGAAAGUCACCAGGUAUGGAUGGAAUGCACCAUCAGCUAUUAUGGAAAAGAAGGAAUUUGGGAAGCCCCUGGCAAGGAUUGGAGAAUUACAAACACCCUUCAUCAAACUACAGAACAAAAGGUCUUAUCUCAAAACCAGGCAGCUUUCAUUCUUCUCGGUAUUUUGGUCGUCUUUUCUCCUUCUUGGGGAUCCUGCUUCACAGGUUACUGAUUGAUAAAGAUGCAAGAUCCAUGUUUCCACGUCACCCAUUUUAAACUAAUACAAAAGCUAUUUAUGUGGGGUGCAGAACAACAGCUGAUCCUCAACAUUCAGAUUAGUGCCUGAUGGCAAAAGUAAAACUCUAUUUUUGUUUUCACCAUUGCAGUGAUUUUGUCUUUUUUAAAAUUAGCCUGUCUGUCAUGCAAAGAAAAGAAACCUGCAUUCACGUAGCCCCUUUCAAGCCCUUCAGCAUCAAGAUGAUAUUUUAAAUUUGUUCUCUACUGAUUUAUAUAUAUUUUAGUUAAAAUGCUUUGAUUAAAAU